rnacentral:rRNA from 1 species
GUUAGCGACAGAAGAAGCACCGGCUAACUCCGUGCCAGCAGCCGCGGUAAUACGGAGGGUGCGAGCGUUAAUCGGAAUUACUGGGCGUAAAGCGCAUGCAGGUGGUUUGUUAAGUCAGAUGUGAAAGCCCGGGGCUCAACCUCGGAAUAGCAUUUGAAACUGGCAGACUAGAGUACUGUAGAGGGGGGUAGAAUUUCAGGUGUAGCGGUGAAAUGCGUAGAGAUCUGAAGGAAUACCGGUGGCGAAGGCGGCCCCCUGGACAGAUACUGACACUCAGAUGCGAAAGCGUGGGGAGCAAACAGGAUUAGAUACCCUGGUAGUCCACGCCGUAAACGAUGUCUACUUGGAGGUUGUGGCCUUGAGCCGUGGCUUUCGGAGCUAACGCGUUAAGUAGACCGCCUGGGGAGUACGGUCGCAAGAUUAAAACUCAAAUGAAUUGACGGGGGCCCGCACAAGCGGUGGAGCAUGUGGUUUAAUUCGAUGCAACGCGAAGAACCUUACCUACUCUUGACAUCCAGAGAACUUUCCAGAGAUGGAUUGGUGCCUUCGGGAACUCUGAGACAGGUGCUGCAUGGCUGUCGUCAGCUCGUGUUGUGAAAUGUUGGGUUAAGUCCCGCAACGAGCGCAACCCUUAUCCUUGUUUGCCAGCACUUCGGGUGGGAACUCCAGGGAGACUGCCGGUGAUAAACCGGAGGAAGGUGGGGACGACGUCAAGUCAUCAUGGCCCUUACGAGUAGGGCUACACACGUGCUACAAUGGCGCAUACAGAGGGCGGCCAACUUGCGAGAGUGAGCGAAUCCCAAAAAGUGCGUCGUAGUCCGGAUCGGAGUCUGCAACUCGACUCCGUGAAGUCGGAAUCGCUAGUAAUCGUGGAUCAGAAUGCCACGGUGAAUACGUUCCCGGGCCUUGUACACACCGCCCGUCACACCAUGGGAGUGGGCUGCAAAAGAAGUAGGAUAG